CCUACGGGAGGCAGCAGUGGGGAAUAUUGCACAAUGGGGGAAACCCUGAUGCAGCGACGCCGCGUGAGUGAAGAAGGAUCUCGGGACGUAAAGCUCUAUCAGCAGGGAAGAAAAUGACGGUACCUGACGAAGAAGCCCCGGCUAACUACGUGCCAGCAGCCGCGGUAAGACGUAGGGGGCAAGCGUUAUCCGGAUUGACUGGGUGUAAAGGGAGCGUAGCCGGCAGCACAAGUCUGGAGUGAACUCCCGGGGCUUAACCCCGGAACUGCUUUGGAAACUGUGCGGCUGGCGUGCAGGAGGGGUAAGCGGCAUUCCUCGUGUAGCGGUGAACUGCGUAGCUAUUAG
rnacentral:rRNA from 1 species